rnacentral:rRNA from 1 species
GAACCUUACCAGCUCUUGACAUGCCCGGUAUGGGCGGGAGAGAUACCGUCCUUCGGUUCGGCCGGCCGGGACACAGGUGCUGCAUGGCUGUCGUCAGCUCGUGUCGUGAGAUGUUGGGUUGAGUCCCGCAACGAGCGCAACCCCCAUCUGCAGUUGCCAGCGGUUUGGCCGGGCACUCUGCAGAAACUGCCGGUGACAAGCCGGAGGAAGGCGGGGAUGACGUCAAGUCCUCAUGGCCCUUAUGGGCUGGGCUACACACGUGCUACAAUGGCGGUGACAGAGGGCGGCAACGGGGCGACCCGGCGCCAAUCUCAAAAAAGCCGUCUCAGUUCGGAUUGCUCUCUGCAACUCGAGAGCAUGAAGUCGGAAUCGCUAGUAAUCGCGGAUCAGCAUGCCGCGGUUAAUACGUUCCCGGGCCUUGUCACACCGA